CCUACGGGGGGCAGCAGUAGGGAAUCUUCGGCAAUGGACGAAAGUCUGACCGAGCAACGCCGCGUGAGUGAAGAAGGUUUUCGGAUCGUAAAACUCUGUUGUUAGAGAAGAACAAGGACGUUAGUAACUGAACGUCCCCUGACGGUAUCUAACCAGAAAGCCACGGCUAACUACGUGCCAGCAGCCGCGGUAAUACGUAGGUGGCAAGCGUUGUCCGGAUUUAUUGGGCGUAAAGCGAGCGCAGGCGGUUUCUUAAGUCUGAUGUGAAAGCCCCCGGCUCAACCGGGGAGGGUCAUUGGAAACUGGGAGACUUGAGUGCAGAAGAGGAGAGUGGAAUUCCAUGUGUAGCGGUGAAAUGCGUAGAUAUAUGGAGGAACACCAGUGGCGAAGGCGGCUCUCUGGUCUGUAACUGACGCUGAGGCUCGAAAGCGUGGGGAGCAAACAGGAUUAGAUACCCCAGUAGUC
rnacentral:rRNA from 1 species